UCGACUCUGUAUAGCUUUGUGGUCAGAGCACUCUCAGCACUGCUCCAGAACUGCAGGGCCUGCAGUUCCAUAUUUAACCUGAGCUGCUUUCAAUUAUGUCUAAAAUUGUAUUUAAAACAAUUAUAGAUAUCAUGUGAUAAAAAUAAACCAAUCAGAAGGAUUUAAUGACUCGAAACAAAGUGCAGUGAACAAAAUCUGUAAAUCGCAUUGCAGAAUGUAAUAAUAUGGGUGCUAGGUGAAAAUGACAUACAUAAAUAAAGAAAUAACGUAGUAAUAAUACCAUACACAGAAUAUAUGAUAAUUAAUAUGAAGUAUGGUGGAAAGAGAAGUACUGUAAGUUAAAUUUUUUGCUGAUGUCUGAGGCAAUAUAGACUGUCAAAUAAAUUAGCUAUAUUAAUACAGGGACUUAAUUGUUUAUUUGUCCCACAGGGGCAACAGGUAUCAAGUUUGAAGAUGAGAUGCAGCUUAUGUCUUAGCAGCUAUCAUUAUUGCCAGAAAUUGGAUAAAGGGGUCCAAUUUUCAUAUUGAAAACACUGUGCGGG
rnacentral:lncRNA from 1 species